rnacentral:rRNA from 1 species
UACAGGGGGGGCAAGCGUUGUUCGGAAUUACUGGGCGUAAAGGGGUUGUAGGCGGCCAACUAAGUCCGACGUGAAAUCCCAAAGCUUAACUUUGGAACUGCGUCGGAUACUGGAUGGCUUGAAUUCGGGAGAGGGAUGCAGAAUUCCAGGUGUAGCGGUGAAAUGCGUAGAUAUCUGGAGGAACACCAAUAGCGAAGGCAGCUCGCUGGGACGUUACUGACACUGAGGCGCGAAAGCGUGGGGAGCGAACAGG